rnacentral:rRNA from 1 species
UACGUAGGGUGCAAGCGUUGUCCGGAAUUAUUGGGCGUAAAGAGCUCGUAGGCGGUCUGUUGCGUCGGCUGUGAAAACCCGGGGCUCAACCCCGGGCCUGCAGCCGAUACUGGCAGACUAGAGUUCGGCAGGGGAGACUGGAAUUCCUGGUGUAGCGGUGAAAUGCGCAGAUAUCAGGAGGAACACCGGUGGCGAAGGCGGGUCUCUGGGCCGAUACUGACGCUGAGGAGCGAAAGCGUGGGGAGCGAACAGG